UAAGUAAGCGGAGGAUAAGAAACUAAAUAGGAUUCCCUUAGUAAUGGCGAAUGAACAGGGAUGAGCUCAAUAUGGAAAUUGCGGCCUCUGGCUGUGAAUUGUAAUCUCAAGAUGUAUUAGCUAACGGGGGCGUGGGUGUAAGCCUCUUGGAAAAGAGAACCAUAGAGGGUGAGAAUCCCGUCUGUCAUCCACAGUCCUCCGUGCACGGCGUACGUUCUUAGAGUCACGUUCCUCGGGAUUGGAGCGCAAACUGGGUGGUAAGUUUCAUCUCAAGCUGAAUAUGGGUUCGAAACCGAUAGCAAACAAGUACCAUGAGGGAAAGAUGAAAAGGACUUUGAAAAGAGAGUUAAAAGUGCCUGAACUUGCUGAAAGGAAAGCGGAUGGAACCAGUGUUGCUUGGUGAGAUUGUUGCRCGCUAUGGUGAUUCUCGCUGCGGCAGCGUAAGCGUCGCUGUGGGUURUAUCCUGUUGCGUGUGAUGCUUCUUACCUUGUGCGUCAUCGUCAGUUUGCGGGCGGGGAUAACCCUUGAGACCUGGUAGCACGGCUGCGGCUGUGUGAAAGUGUCUUGCGGAACUCGCCUGCAGACUGGUACCCUUACGUGUGGUUGCGCUGCUUCCGAGCAUUCGGCGCACGCGCCUUCGUGGCGAGUGUUGCUGUUUGUUUCGGCUUAGCACCUUCCACACACUCAUGGUGACUAAAUGGUUCUAUUCGACCCG
rnacentral:rRNA from 1 species